rnacentral:rRNA from 1 species
GGCGAACCGGGGGAACUGAAACAUCUAAGUACCCCGAGGAAAAGAAAUCAACCGAGAUUCCGAAAGUAGCGGCGAGCGAAAUUGGACUAGCCCUUAAGCUUUACACGCGUUAGACGAACGGUCUGGAAAGUCCGACGAUACAGGGUGAUAGUCCCGUAGUUGACGACGUGUGUUCAGUGAAAUCGAGUAGGGCGGGACACGUGAUAUCCUGUCUGAAUAUGGGGGGACCAUCCUCCAAGGCUAAAUACUACUGACUGACCGAUAGUGAACCAGUACCGUGAGGGAAAGGCGAAAAGAACCCCUGUGAGGGGAGUGAAAUAGAACCUGAAACCGUGUACGUACAAGCAGUAGGAGCAGGCUUUGUCCUGUGACUGCGUACCUUUUGUAUAAUGGGUCAGCGACUUAUAUUCAGUGGCAAGGUUAACCAUCUAGGGGAGCCGUAGGGAAACCGAGUCUUAACUGGGCGUUCAGUCUCUGGAUAUAGACCCGAAACCAGGUGAUCUAGCCAUGGGCAGGUUGAAGGUUGAGUAACAUCAACUGGAGGACCGAACCGACUAAUGUUGAAAAAUUAGCGGAUGACUUGUGGCUAGGGGUGAAAGGCCAAUCAAACCUGGAGAUAGCUGGUUCUCCCCGAAAGCUAUUUAGGUAGCGCCUCGGACGAAUACUACUGGGGGUAGAGCACUGUUAAGGCUAGGGGGUCAUCCCGACUUACCAACCCUUUGCAAACUCCGAAUACCAGUAAGUACUAUCCGGGAGACACACGGCGGGUGCUAACGUCCGUCGUGGAGAGGGAAACAACCCAGACCGCCAGCUAAGGUCCCAAAUUACUACUAAGUGGGAAACGAUGUGGGAAGGCUCAGACAGCCAGGAUGUUGGCUUAGAAGCAGCCAUCAUUUAAAGAAAGCGUAAUAGCUCACUGGUCGAGUCGGCCUGCGCGGAAGAUGUAACGGGGCUAAGUAGUAAACCGAAGCUGCGGCAAUGUGCUUUUGCACAUUGGGUAGGGGAGCGUUCUGUAAGCGGUUGAAGGUGUGUGGUAACGCAUGCUGGACGUAUCAGAAGUGCGAAUGCUGACAUGAGUAACGAUAAAGGGGGUGAAAAACCUCCUCGCCGGAAGACCAAGGGUUCCUGUCCAACGUUAAUCGGGGCAGGGUAAGUCGACCCCUAAGGCGAGGCCGAAAGGCGUAGUCGAUGGGAAACGGGUUAAUAUUCCCGUACUUCUUACAAUUGCGAUGGGGGGACGGAGAAGGCUAGGUGGGCCUGGCGACGGUUGUCCAGGUUCAAGUGCGUAGGCUUAAGNNNNNNNNNNNNNNNNNNNNNNNNNNNNNNNNNNNNNNNNNNNNNNNNNNNNNNNNNNNNNNNNNNNNNNNNNNNNNNNNNNNNNNNNNNNNNNNNAUGUGAAGUCAUUGAUGCCAUGCUUCCAGGAAAAGCCUCUAAGCUUCAGAUUGUAAGGAAUCGUACCCCAAACCGACACAGGUGGUCGGGUAGAGAAUACCAAGGCGCUUGAGAGAACUCGGGUGAAGGAACUAGGCAAAAUGGUACCGUAACUUCGGGAGAAGGUACGCUCUCGACGGUGAAGUCCCUCGCGGAUGGAGCUAUUGAGAGUCGCAGAUACCAGGUGGCUGCAACUGUUUAUUAAAAACACAGCACUGUGCAAAAUCGUAAGAUGACGUAUACGGUGUGACGCCUGCCCGGUGCCGGAAGGUUAAUUGAUGGGGUUAGACUUCGGUCGAAGCUCUUGAUCGAAGCCCCGGUAAACGGCGGCCGUAACUAUAACGGUCCUAAGGUAGCGAAAUUCCUUGUCGGGUAAGUUCCGACCUGCACGAAUGGCGUAAUGAUGGCCACGCUGUCUCCACCCGAGACUCAGUGAAAUUGAAAUCGCUGUGAAGAUGCAGUGUACCCGCGGCUAGACGGAAAGACCCCGUGAACCUUUACUACAGCUUGGCACUGAACAUUGACCCUACAUGUGUAGGAUAGGUGGGAGGCUUUGAAGCACGUACGCCAGUAUGUGUGGAGCCGUCCUUGAAAUACCACCCUUGUAGUGUUGAUGUUCUAACGUCGACCCCUUAUCGGGGUUGCGGACAGUGCCUGGUGGGUAGUUUGACUGGGGCGGUCUCCUCCCAAAGAGUAACGGAGGAGCACGAAGGUGGGCUAAUCACGGUUGGACAUCGUGAGGUUAGUGCAAUGGCAUAAGCCCGCUUGACUGCGAGAAUGACAAUUCGAGCAGGUGCGAAAGCAGGUCAUAGUGAUCCGGUGGUUCUGAAUGGAAGGGCCAUCGCUCAACGGAUAAAAGGUACUCCGGGGAUAACAGGCUGAUACCGCCCAAGAGUUCAUAUCGACGGCGGUGUUUGGCACCUCGAUGUCGGCUCAUCACAUCCUGGGGCUGAAGUCGGUCCCAAGGGUAUGGCUGUUCGCCAUUUAAAGUGGUACGCGAGCUGGGUUUAGAACGUCGUGAGACAGUUCGGUCCCUAUCUGCCGUGGGCGUUGGAAGAUUGAAGGGGGCUGCUCCUAGUACGAGAGGACCGGAGUGGACGAACCUCUGGUGUUCGGGUUGUGUCGCCAGACGCAUUGCCCGGUAGCUAAGUUCGGAAUCGAUAACCGCUGAAAGCAUCUAAGCGGGAAGCGAGCCCUGAGAUGAGUCUUCCCUGAUACUUUAAGUAUCCUAAAGGGUUGUCGGAGACUACGACGUUGAUAGGUCAGGUGUGUAAGUGCUGUGAGGCAUUGAGCUAACUGAUACUAAUUGCCCGUGAGGCUUAACCAUACAACACCCAAGGGGUUU